GAGGGUAGAGCUCAGCAGUGGAGCGCAUGCUUAGCAUGCACGAGGUCCUGGGUUCAAUCCCCAGUACCUCUG
rnacentral:tRNA from 1 species